rnacentral:rRNA from 1 species
AACGAACGCUGGCGGCAUGCCUAACACAUGCAAGUCGAACGAGACCUUCGGGUCUAGUGGCGCACGGGUGCGUAACGCGUGGGAACCUGCCCUUAGGUUCGGAAUAACUCCCCGAAAGGGGUGCUAAUACCGGAUAAUGUCUUCGGACCAAAGAUUUAUCGCCUUUGGAUGGGCCCGCGUUGGAUUAGCUAGUUGGUAGGGUAAAAGCCUACCAAGGCGACGAUCCAUAGCUGGUCUGAGAGGAUGAUCAGCCACACUGGGACUGAGACACGGCCCAGACUCCUAGGGAGGGAAGCAGUGGGGAUAAUUGGACAAUGGGCGAAGGCCGAAUCCGGCAUGGCCGGGUGAGUGAUGAAGGCCUAGGGUUGUAAAGCUCUUUUACCCGGGAUGAUAAUGACAGUACCGGGAGAAUAAGCUCCAGCUAACUCCGUG